UACAGAGGUGGCAAGCGUUGUUCGGAAUUACUGGGCGUAAAGGGCGCGUAGGUGGCCAACUAAGUCGGACGUGAAAUCCCUCGGCUUAACCGGGGAACUGCGUCCGAUACUGGUUGGCUUGAGUUUGGGAGAGGGAUGCGGAAUUCCAGGUGUAGCGGUGAAAUGCGUAGAUAUCUGGAGGAACACCGGUGGCGAAGGCGGCAUCCUGGACCAAUACUGACGCUGAGGAGCGAAAGCCAGGGGAGCAAACGGG
rnacentral:rRNA from 1 species